rnacentral:rRNA from 1 species
GUGGGGAAUAUUGGACAAUGGGCGAAAGCCUGAUCCAGCCAUGCCGCGUGUGUGAAGAAGGUCUUCGGAUUGUAAAGCACUUUAAGUUGGGAGGAAGGGCAGUAAGUUAAUACCUUGCUGUUUUGACGUUACCGACAGAAUAAGCACCGGCUAACUUCGUGCCAGCAGCCGCGGUAAUACGAAGGGUGCAAGCGUUAAUCGGAAUUACUGGGCGUAAAGCGCGCGUAGGUGGUUCAGUAAGUUGGAAGUGAAAUCCCCGGGCUCAACCUGGGAACUGCUUUCAAAACUGCUGAGCUAGAGUACGGUAGAGGGUGGUGGAAUUUCCUGUGUAGCGGUGAAAUGCGUAGAUAUAGGAAGGAACACCAGUGGCGAAGGCGACCACCUGGACUGAUACUGACACUGAGGUGCGAAAGCGUGGGGAGCAAACAGGAUUAGAUACCCGAGUAGUCC